GUCCUCGUAGCUCAAUUGGAUAGAGCGCUGCCCUCCGAAGGCAGAGGUUAAAGGUUCGACUCCUUUCGAGGACG
rnacentral:tRNA from 1 species